rnacentral:rRNA from 1 species
UACGUAGGGUCCGAGCGUUGUCCGGAAUUAUUGGGCGUAAAGGGCUCGUAGGCGGUCUGUUGCGUCGGGAGUGAAAACUUACAGCUUAACUGUGAGCGUGCUUUCGAUACGGGCAGACUUGAGGCAUUCAGGGGAGAACGGAAUUCCUGGUGUAGCGGUGAUAUGCGUAGAUAUCGGGAGGAACACCAGUGGCGAAGGCGGCUCUCUGGGCCUUUCCUGACGCUGAGACGCGAAAGCGUGGGGAGCGAACCGG